AUGAUAAUAAUACUAAGAAGAAGAAGCACACUUGCACACUCCUCCGUCCUAAAAUGGAGACAUCACGAGCUCACUCCAGCGCUACAGACGGAGAAGAUCACAAGAGAGGGACAGAAGAAACGAAUUCACAGAUUUUUGAGCUACUCCUACCCAGCUCCCAUAGUUUCCUGCCUACAGCCUCCAAUAUAUCCCCCUUUUUUCCCACCCUCGCCAGUUCACACGCGCUCUUUCUUUUUCCUAAUUAACAAAAAUAGAUUUUGCCUUUUUGUGUCAGGGGGAGGGAAAAACAGGCCGCUGGUAAGUAAAGCACGCCGAAAUUGCCUCGGGGGAAAUAUAUAG
rnacentral:rRNA from 1 species